rnacentral:rRNA from 1 species
AGACGUAGGGGGCGAGCGUUGUUCGGAUUUACUGGGCGUAAAGCGCGCGUAGGCGGCCAGAUAAGUCGGGUGUGAAAGCCCUCGGCUCAACCGAGGUUCCGCAUCCGAUACUGCUUGGCUGGAGUCUAGGAGAGGAGAGCGGAAUUCCCAGUGUAGCGGUGAAAUGCGUAGAUAUUGGGAGGAACACCCGUGGCGAAGGCGGCUCUCUGGACUAGUACUGACGCUGAGGCGCGAAAGCUAGGGGAGCGAACGGGAUUAGAUACCCCGGUAGUCCUAGCCGUAAACGAUGGGCACUAGGUGUGGGAGGUAUUGACCCCUUCCGCGCCGAAGCUAACGCAUUAAGUGCCCCGCCUGGGGAGUACGGCCGCAAGGCUAAA